UAAUUAAAAAAGAGAGAGAGAGAGAAUUAAUUACCUUACGGAUAACAGCGUAAUAAUUUUGGAGAGAUCAUAUCGAUAAAAUUGAUUGCGACCUCGAUGUUGAAUUAAGAGUAAAAUUAAAUGCAGAAGUUUAAUAUUUAAGUCUGUUUGACUUUUAAAAUCUUACAUGAUUUGAGUUUAGAUCGGCGUGAGCCAGAUCGGUUUCUAUCUAUAAUUA
rnacentral:ncRNA from 1 species